rnacentral:SRP_RNA from 1 species
UCCUGUAUAAUGGGCGUGGUAACGAGUUCUGCCCAUGCUUGCAAGGGCGCUUUGUUGCGGGCGAUGAAGGGCUGGCCCCGUGCAAGGCCCCGUUGCGAACCGUGUCAGGCCCGGAAGGGAGCAGCACUAAGCGGCCUUCGGGCUUGUGCCGCGGGCAGACCUGCCCGGAGUCCGGAAUAGAGCGUCCCUGUAAGCAGGG